rnacentral:rRNA from 1 species
UACGUAGGAUGCAAGCGUUGUCCGGAAUUAUUGGGCGUAAAGAGCGAGCAGGCGGUUUGGAAAGUUGGACGUGAAAUUUUAGGGCUUAACCCUAAAGGGGCGUCCAAAACUCCCAGACUAGAGUGCAGGAGAGGAAAGCGGAAUUCCCGGUGUAGUGGUGAAAUGCGUAGAUAUCGGGAGGAACACCAGAGGCGAAGGCGGCUUUCUGGCCUGUAACUGACGCUGAGGCGCGAAGGCUGGGGUAGCGAACAGG